UGUCUACAUAUCAUAGCUUUCAAAACCGAGGUCCAGUUCACAACAUUAUAGAAAAUUAACAGGUAUCUCUCAAUACAUUGAUAGGUCAUAAAUUAAUAGGAUGCAACAAAUUACAUGGAAAUACAGUCAGCCAGGUCACACAAGCCAUCUAGCCACAGGUGGACAGAAAGAUAGAUAGAAGAAGUCCCACCAUCCUUAUUGCUGAGUUUGAAAACAAUUCAAACAGAUAAGCUAACACAGUUUGUACGAAGCAAGCAACUGGUUUGAUAGUAUAAUGUUGCAUUAUGACUUAUGAGAGUUUCCAGUCAGCCAGUUUAUCAGCUACUACUACUACCAGUCUGCUACAACAAUGAUGAUAAAUUGCCAUUCAGCACAAGAAAAGCCUGAGAUAAUUGAGACUGAUCAUUCAUAAACAACACCUAAGAUUGCAUCGGUUCAGACGAGGAACAACACAGUGAAACUUGGUUGUUCUGAGGAAAGCUGAAACUUGGUUGUUCUGAGGAACAGCACAAAUAAUAGUCGGUGAAACUUUUAAACCUAAUUUAUAUUUGGUCUAGAUCAGGCAUUCAUGGAUGAGAAAUAACCGACAUCGUGGCGGCACUAAGAUACUAAUGAAGAUAUAGUGGUCCUUGUCCAAUGUUGUUAUAUAGUCACACUAAGAUAAGAUACUUCAUAAUAAGCAAUUGCCAGUCAGGAGGAAGUAGACAACUAACCUGC
rnacentral:lncRNA from 1 species